GAUGAAGAACUCAGCGAAAUGCGAUAAGUAGUGUGAAUUGCAGAAUUUAGUGAAUCAUCGAAUCUUUGAACGCACAUUGCGCCCUAUAGUAUUCUGUAGGGCAUGCCUGUUCGAGCGUUAUUGAGACCUCAAGCUCUGCUUGGAAAUGGGCGCUUGUCUUGCCUUGCAGACUCGCCUUAAAACCAUUGGCAGCUGAUUUACAAUGUUUGGUGCACAGUACAUGAGCCCAAGUGUUGCAAUGAGUGGCCCAAAAGUAUACAAUAGAAGCUUAACCUCGGAUCAGGUAGGGAUACCCGCUGAACUUAAGCAUAUCAAUAAGCGGAGGA
rnacentral:misc_RNA from 1 species